AUCAUUGUGUAAUGGAUAGCGCGUUGGACUUCUGAUUCAAAGGUCAUGGAUUCGAAUCCCAUUUGGUAUG